rnacentral:lncRNA from 1 species
GAGUCACCAAAUUAUUUAAAUAUGAUAUUUAUUGUCUAAAAUAUGUGAAUAUGAAUGUGUGAAAGUUUAAAGCUUCGAUUUAGUUAAUUGCAUGUGAAUUUAGUUAAUAGGACUUAUGUGUGACACUUUUGAAAUGUGAUAGGUUAAUCUAUAAGGAUCUAUUAGUGCAUGUAAUCAAAAGGGUGGACUUGCAUGUCAAUUUCCCCCCUAAUUAGUAGUGGCCGGCCAUGAGCAUGAGGGUGGACAAAAUGUUAUGGCUAAAACAUGUCAUAAACAUGUUGGGUUAAUGCUUUAUGUUAGGAAUAAUAAAAUAAAGAGCAGGGGCAAUAAAAUAUUAGUGUUAGUAGGAGGAGAAACAAAAAAAAAUGUGUGUGGUUGUUCCCCCAUUUUGCCGUAUCUAGAAGAAAAAAAGGGGCUUCAUUCUUUGGUUCUUCUUGGCCAAAUUGAAGAAAGGAAGAAGAGAGGUUUCGGUCACCUUGAGCUUAAGGGGAGGUUAGUAUGUUGUGUUAGAUUCUUAAAUUUUAAACUUGUUUCUAGUUAAUUAGCUAAUUUCUUACACAACCCAUGGCAAAAUUUCGAAAUCUUGGUGAUGGCUUGAGCAUUCGGUUUUAGUUAUUAAAGGAUGAGAUUGGAUUAUAAUCUUUAUGUUUUAUGAAGAAUUGUUGAAGAGAAGGGUUUAAGUAGUCAAAUUAUAAAUUUUAAUGCUCAUGAGUACAAUGGCCAAACAUAGAUUUGUCUAAAGAAUUGAACAAAUGCCGUGUGAGUGAUUGAAAUGAAUGAGUUGGAGGUUGGAUCAUGUUAAGAUUCGGCCUUGUACAUAAACAUUAAGAGUUUGAUGUUUUUGUGAUUUUUGGAAGGUAAAUAAGGUUAUACACAAGAUAAAUACUAAGAUUUUGGUUGACUGUUUUUAGUGAGGUUCGGCCAAGGACCUUAUGUACAAGUUUAUUCGGUUUAAGUAGAGUAAACGUGACGGGUAGAUAUGAAGUAAUGUGUAUAUUGGUUCGGCUACUAAGCAAGGAAAUAAUUGUUGGUAACAUAGUAUCUAUGCACUUAUGAAUAUAUAUAUAUGGUAUUUUAAGUAUAAUUGUUCAUUGAUAAGGUUGGUUAAUAGUUCAAGUAAGGAUUACUAUAUUUGAUAUGUACUGAAUUGAGGCAAUUGGUUCGGCAAUUAGCUUAAGACAUACGGGUAAUAUCAUAUGUCCGAUCAUAGUUAAACAUUAGAUAAUUGUGAUUCUUUGACUACAAUGUUUGAAUAUCGCCAUGGGGAGAAUAUAUGAUCGGUUCCCUAAUAUUAGUUCGAAAUGAAUCUAAAUAAAUAGAUACUUGUAUAUAGUAAAGUUGGAUAAGUAAUUGAAUAAAUUUAUUUGUUUAUUAAGCUCAAGAGCUUAGAGGAUCAAAGUUGGAUAAGGGAAAGGAAAAAGUGAUCGAAUAGCCGCCGAAAUCGUUCGACCACAUCCGAGGUAAGUCUUUGAGUAAUGGAGCUUAGAUUAUGAUUCGAUUAGAUCAUGUUUUAAGUAAAUCAAAAUCAUGCUCUUGUAUGUAGCUAUUGAGCCGAAAAUGAUAAUGCUUGAUAAGUGACUUGUGUUUGAAUUCUAGUUAUGAAAUUGAAAUAGAGAUGUGUCAUGAUUUAUUGAUAUGUGCAUGGAUAUUCGGAUGAUAACCAGGCUAAGUCCCGAAGGCAUUUGUGCUAAUGACUAAUUCCGGGCUAAGUCCCAAAGGCAUUUGUGCGAGUUACUAUAACCGGGCUAAGUCCCGAAGGCAAUUGUGCGAGUUACUAUAACCGGGCUAAGUCCCGAAGGCAUUUGAGCGAGUAGCUAUAUCCGGCUAAACCCCGAAGGUAUUUGGUUGGGAAUGAGCGAUCUUGCUGUAAUAAUUUCAAUUAAUACGCUCGUAAAAUCCCAACGAUGAGGUACGUUCCGUAUAUGCAUUUGAGUAGUGAUUCCGUUUAAAUAUUAUUCGCUCAGUCGAUUAAUGAGCUUCCGGCCUUUGGUUAAGUUGAUCCCUUAUGUAUGAAUAUAAGGGUUGGAAAUGUGAAGUAGGAUUGAUUUUUGAAAAUAUGUGUAUAUGAGAUUAUCCGUUUAGUUAUAUGAAUGCUAUACUUCAGUUGUGCCUAAUUUCAUUGCUCAAAACUUACUAAGCAUUAAAUGCUUAUUCCGUUUCUUUGAUUCUCUGUUUUAUAGAUUUUGGUUCGUCAGCUAUCGGACUCGGGAUUGUCGAAGUCGAAGUCGUCCACACUAUCAAAGCCCUUUUGGUACACUUUUGGUUGAACUCUGAAAAUGGCAUGUAUAGGACUACCCUUUUUGUUGUUGGUCAUGUACCCUUUGGUUUUGUAUAAAUUUGGAUAGCCAUGCGAAAAUGGCUUAUAUACACUUUGAGCAUAGCAUUAUAAUCGUUUUGUAUGUUGUUCAUUAAGAGGUAUGGAAAUGUUUGGUAACGAUUAGCCAUUGGGAAUGGUUAAUUACAAUUAUUUUGAUGCUAUGUAUGACAAACUCUAGUUGAUUCAUGGAAAACCAUGAAAUAGGUAAAGUUUACCUUAAAAACAGAUGCUGACAGCAACAGUGGUGUGGAUUUGAAAAAAUCACUAAAAAUAGUAGGAAUGAAAUUAAAUAGUGAAUAAAUUAUGUAAUUUAACCUUGAUGAAUCUAUUUUCAUAGGAAAGUAAUGAAACGAUCAUAUGAACAAUAUUUUAUGAGAUUUUAGAGUUUUCGUGAAAUAGGGCCAGAGCGGUUUCUGGAUUCCCUGUUUGGACUUAGGAAAUUCAUUAUAAAUUAACCAGAGAUAGUUAGAAGUCAUGCCAUAUAUUUAUAGAUUCCUUUUAGAGUCUAUUUUCUUUAGAAACAAACGACAUAAGUAUUGAAGCCCUGUACAGGGAGAUAUCCAAGUCGUAAUGCAUGAAGGUCAGAAUAGUCAAACCCUGUAACAGGGGAGACUUUAACUAAUAAACUGUACUAAUUGGCCUGACCAAAAAUUCUAGAAAAAUAUUUGUAGAUGGAUAUAUGAGUCUAGCUUCAGGAAAAAUUUACGAAACUGGUUUUCAAGUUUUUGAACUCAAGAUAUGAUUUUUAAGGUGACAGUGACGCAGUUUGCCAGCUUGUUUGGAAAUUUUUAAAAUGGACCGAGAAAAUAAAUGAAUUAAGUCUGUUAGCACCUCGUGUUCGACUCCGGCAACGGUCUCGGGUACGGGGUGUUACAAUUUUAUUGGUAUCAGAGCUACGGUUUAGUCGAUUCUAGGACUACCGUAAUACGUUUGGGUCUAGCUAUACAUGCCAUUUUGUGAUUAUUUGAUAGUGUGGUGAUUUCUGACAAUUGAAAAUGUGUUUAUUUAUAGUAAUGGAUCCCGAUCCCGACUGAGUGGUAGCUGAUGAUCUUGAGAGUGUUGCUCCCGCACAAGGGACAGUGCCGGCGGACUCUCAACCUAUUGCUAGUAAUCCGAAUGAUGAGGCUAGAUAAGCUUUUUAUAGCGUGAUGAAUUAUUGGUUCAACCAAUACAUUCGAACUAAUACGGCUGUUCCACAACCUCCAUUCCCGACUAAUACCACCCCCGCACCUACAAUACCUCUGGUCACUGACCAAAUAAGGUCAAAUAAGCCCCCAGUUGACAGAAUCCGAAAACACGGGGCUAUUGAAUUUAAAGCUACGGAUAGCGACGACGCCGAGCAAGCUGAAUUUUGGUUGGAUAACACUAUUCGGGUACUUGAUGAACUAUCUUGCACACCCGAUGAAUGCUUAAAGUGUACUAUCUCCUUGCUACGUGAUUCUGCCUACUAUUGGUGGAAUACGUUGAUUUCUGUUGUGCCCCGAGAGCAAGUAACUUGGGAGUUUUUGCAAACUGAGUUUCGAAAGAAGUAUAUCAGUCAGAGAUUCAUUAACCAAAAACGGAAGGAAUUUCUUGAACUUAAACAAGGGUCCAUGUCGGUUACCGACUAUGAACGAAAAUUUGUGAGGCUUAGCCGGUACUCACGAGAAUGCAUUUUUUCAGAAGCUGUGAUGUGUAAACGUUUCGAAGAUGGACUGAAUGAUGAUAUAAAGCUGUAUGUUGGCAUUUUAGAAAUCUGAGAAUUUGUGGUACUUGUCGAGCGAGCUUGCAAAGCCGAGGAGCUCAGUAAGGAGAAAAGGAAAGCUGAUAUGGGAGCAAAGGAGUUUCGUAAGAGAUCUUCGAGAAAGCCCUUCCAACAGUCAUCAAAGAAAUUUAGAGAUGACUUAGGCCGGUCUAGAGACACUUCAAGUUUUGCUAGAAGAGAUCGUGACCGACCCCCUGUGAGUACACGAGUCACUUCGGUCGCCAGUGUUGGAAACGAUCAUCGAGACAGAACGGAGUGCCAGUAUUGUGGUAAAUGGCAUUCGGGGAGUUGUAGAUUCCAUGACCGCUCCUGUUAUAAAUGCGGAUCAGCUGACCAUUUUAUCAAGGAUUGCCCGAGACUGUCUGAACAAAAUGUAAAUCAGAGUGGGAAACCAGGGGCUACUACUGCUCGAGGUAGACCGUCCAGAAACACGGGCAAUUCUAGUGGCGGUCAAAGAGGAUCUAGAGAUGCUACAACCAGAUCUGAGGCUCGUGCUCCCGCUAGAGCUUAUGCCAUACGCGCACGCGAGGAUGCUUCCUCGCCAAAUGCUAUUACCGGUACUUUUACUCUCUUCGAUACUAAUGUUAUUGCUUUGAUUGACCCUGGUUCUACUCAUUCUUAUAUAUGUGAAACCUUAGCAUCCAGUAAGACUCUACUGUUGAGUCUACUGAGUUUGUAAUUCGGUUGUCAAAUCCCUUGGGUCGUUACGUGCUUGUCGACAAGGUGUGUAAGAAAUGUCCCCUAGUAAUUCGAGGUUCCUGUUUUCCGGCGGACUUGAUACAUUUUCUGUUUGAUGAAUUUGAUGUUAUUCUUGGUUUGGAUUGGUUGACCGUGCAUGAUGCGGUUGUGAAUUGCAAAAGAAAGACUAUUGAUUUGAGGUGCGCAAAUAAUGAGAUAAUCCGAGUUGAGUCUACUGUCUUGAGUGGAUUGCCAACAAUAAUAUCCUCGAUGUUAGCUCAAAGAUAUGUGAGAAAGGGGUGUGAAGCGUAUCUGGCAUACGUACUUGAUAAUAAAGAGCCAGAGAGGAAACUUGAAUCUGUGCCGGUGGUUUGUGAAUAUCUGGAUGUUUUUCCCGAAGAAUUAUCGGGUUUACCACCUGUUCGGGAGGUAGAGUUUGGUAUUGAGCUUGUACCUGGGACUACACUGAUUUCGAUAGCUCCGUAUCGUAUAGCACCAACAGAAUCAAAGGAAUUGAAAGCUCAGUUGCAAGAGUUGACGGAUAGAGGUUUCGCUCGACCAAGUUUCUCACCUUGGGGUGCACCAGUAUUGUUUGUGAAAAAGAAGGACGGAACCAUGAGGUUGUGCAUCGACUAUCGUCAACUGAAUAAGGUGACAAUAAAGAAUAAAUAUCCGAUACCGCGCAUUGACGAUUUGUUUGAUCAACUAAAGGGAGCCUCGGUGUUUUCAAAGACAGAUUUGAGAUCGGGUUAUUACCAGUUGCGAAUUCGAGAUUCGGAUAUACCCAAAACUGCUUUCAGAACGAGAUACGGCCACUACGAGUUCUUAGUGAUGCCGUUUGAGCUCACUAAUGCCCCUGCGGUAUUUUUGGAUUUGAUGAAUCGAAUCUUCAGACCGUAUUUGGACCGGUUUGUAGUUGUGUUUAUUGAUGACAUCUUGGUCUACUCAAGAGAUGAAACCGAGCAUGCUGAGCACCUGAGAUUAGUGUUGCAGGUUUUACGAAAUAAGCAGUUAUAUGCUAAGUUCAGUAAGUCUGAGUUCUGGUUAAGGGAGGUGAGCUUCUUGGGUCAUGUGGUAUCCGCAUCGGGUAUUUGAGUAGAUCCAAGCAAAAUUUCAGCCAUACUUAACUAGAAGCCUCCGAGAAAUAUUACUGAGGUUCGUAGCUUUUUGGGACUUGCCGGUUACUACCGACGGUUUGUAAAAGGUUUCUCGAUGAUAGCCACACCAAUGACGAAGCUACUUCAAAAAGAUGUUAAGUUCGAAUGGACGGAAAAAUGUCAGAAAAGUUUUGAUCAACUGAAAACUUAUUUGACUGAAGCUCCAAUUCUAGUGCAGCCCGAAUCAGGCAAAGAGUUUGUCAUUUAUAGUGAUGCCUCCCUACUUGGGUUGGGUUGCGUAUUAAUGCAAGAAGGUCGAGUUUUGGCCUAUGCGUCGAGACAAUUGAAGCCACACGAGAAAAAUUAUCCGACCCAUGAUCUCGAACUAGUUGCCAUCGUGUUCGCCUUGAAAAUAUGGCGACAUUAUUUAUUUGGUGAGAAGUGCCAUGUAUAUUCGGAUCACAAAAUUCUCAAAUAUUUGAUGACUCAAUGAGACUUGAAUCUGCGACAAAGGCGUUGGCUUGAGUUGUUGAAAGAUUAUGAGCUUGUCAUUGAUUAUCACCCAAGAAAGGCUAAUGUGGUUGUGGACGCCUUAAGCCGGAAAUCAAUGUUUUCUUUACGAGCGAUGAAUGCACACUUGUCUGUUCUACCCGAAAAUGUGUUAGUAGCUGAAUUAAAGGCCAAACCAUUAUUGAUUCAUCAAAUUCGUGAAGCUCAGAAAGUCGAUGAUGAAUUGGUUGCAAAACGGGCUGAAUGUGUUCCGAAUAUGGAAUCAGAGUUUCAAAUUGAUGAUGAUGAUUGUUUGAGGUUCAGAAGUCGUUUGUGUGUUCCAAGAAAUUCAGAACUCAUUUCGAUGAUUCUGAACGAAGCUCAUUGUAGCCGAAUGCCAAUUCACCCGGGGAGUAUGAAAAUGUACAACGAUCUGAGACGUCAGUUUUGGUGGCAUGGUAUGAAACGAGACAUUUCCGAUUUUGUUUCGAAGUGUUUAAUAUGUCAGCAAGUGAAGGCGGAACAUCAAGUGCCGACGGGUUUACUUCAGCCGAUCAUGAUACCUGAAUGGAAAUGGGAUCGAGUCACGAUGGAUUUUGUAUCUGGGUUGCCAGUAUCGGCACGUAAGAAAGAUGCGAUUUGGGUUGUUGUUGAUAGACUGACUAAGUCGGCUCACUUCAUCCCCGUACGUACAGAUUUUUCAUUGGAUAAACUUGCUGAAUUGUAUGUUUCUCAGAUUGUGAGAUUACACGGGGUACCUAUUUCUAUUGUACCGGAUAGACAUCCGAGAUUCACCUCGCGAUUUUGGAAGAAGUUGCAAGAAGCCUUGGGUACCAAGUUGCAUUUUAGCACCGCUUUUCAUCCCCAAACCGAUGGUCAAUCCGAGCGGAUAAUUUAGAUACUCGAGGAUAUGUUGAGAUGCUGCAUCCUUGAGUUUAGUGGUUCAUGGGAACGGUAUCUACCUUUGAUUGAGUUCGCUUACAACAAUAGUUUUUAGUCAAGCAUUAAGAUGGCGCCUUACGAGGCUUUGUACGGUCGAAAAUGCCGAACACCAUUGUUUUGGACUGAGCUCGGUGAAAGUAAAAUUUUCGGAGUUGAUUUAAUCAAAAAUGCUGAACAGAAAGUAAAGAUAAUUCGUGAAAGUCUAAAGGCAGCAUCAGAUCGUCAGAAGUCGUACACGGAUUUAAAACGAAGAGAUAUUGAGUAUCAGGUGGGAGACAAAGUAUUUCUUAAGGUGUCACCUUGGAAAAAGAUACUCAGAUUUGGCCGUAAGGGAAAACUGAGUCCAAGGUUCAUAGGGCCAUAUGAAGUAUCCGAACGAAUUGGUCAAGUUGCGUAUAGAUUGAUUUUGCCCCCUGAACUUGAAAAGAUUCACGACGUCUUUCAUGUUUCGAUGCUUCGACGUUAUAGAUCUGAUCCAUCACACGUAAUUAAUCCAUCAGAGGUUGAAAUUCAAUCCGACAUGAGUUAUGAAGAAGAACCGAUUCGUAUCCUAGCUCGUGAAGUGAAAGAGUUGUGAAACAAAAGGGUUCCGUUAGUAAAAGUGUUAUGGCUCAAACACGGAAUCGAAGAAGCUACUUGGGAAACCGAGAACUCUAUGAAAGAACGUUACGCAAACCUAUUUACCGGUAAGAUUUUCGGGGACGAAAAUUUCUUAAGUGGGAGAGAGUUGUGAAGCCCUAAAGUGACCCUAGUCGGAAAGCGGUUUCGGGACCGCUAAACCGAGUCACCAAAUUAUUUAAAUAUGAUAUUUAUUGUCUAAAAUAUGUGAAUAUGAAUAUGUGAAAGUUUAAAGCUUCGAUUUAGUUAAUUGCAUGUGAAUUUAGUUAAUAAGACUUAUGUGUGACACUUUUGAAAUGUGAUAGGUUAAUCUAUAAGGAUCUAUUAGUGCAUGUAAUCAAAAGGGUGGACUUGCAUGUCAA